CCUGCCCCUAGAGACAUUGCAGGUGUGGCUGCUGUGUCACAUGUGCAUCAGUAGGUGGUAGAGAGAAGAGAGUAGGCUUUGCCUACUCUCAGGAUUCUGAUCUAUGAACAUCUGGAUGACCAGUAGCCUAACAUU
ensembl:snoRNA Gm26417 predicted gene, 26417